rnacentral:rRNA from 1 species
GACGAACGCUGGCGGCGUGCCUAACACAUGCAAGUCGAACGUGAAGCCGGUGCUUGCACCGGUGGAAAGUGGCGAACGGGUGAGUAACACGUGAGAAACCUGCCCCGGAGACUGGGACAACCAUUGGAAACGAUGGCUAAUACCGGAUGUCCUCAGAUGGUCGCAUGACCGACUGAGGAAAUGCUCUGGCGCUCUGGGAGGGUCUCGCGGCCUAUCAGUUAGUUGGUGGGGUAACGGCCUACCAAGACAUCGACGGGUAGCUGGUCUGAGAGGACGAUCAGCCACACUGGGACUGAGACACGGCCCAGACUCCUACGGGAGGCAGCAGUGGGGAAUAUUGCGCAAUGGGCGAAAGCCUGACGCAGCAACGCCGCGUGAGGGAUGACGGCUUUCGGGUUGUAAACCUCUUUCAGUGAUGACGAAAAUGACGGUAGUCACAGAAGAAGGUCCGGCCAACUACG